GCUUUCUUGAUGUCCGAAGGUGAAGACAAGUAGAGAAUUUACCUUGACCGGAGCACCGAGAACGAGAACAUAGAGUGCCUUUCUUUUUUCAAUUAUGCCCGCUGACCGCUUAAGGAGGUUGAACCCCCGAAGGAGAGAUAGGGCUGAAAUUCUCACCUCACUGACGAAGCCUUUAGCAGAUAUCACAUGGGUGGGGCAUUCAUCCUUUUCAAAGGGGCACACUAUUAUUCUGACAACGUCGAUCUGGCCAUAUGGCCCGUAGUGAUGAUAAAUAGAGAAAAACAUCCAACUUCCCUCCUCCAGAUUAGACCAUUGUGCCAAGAGCACCACGAAUGAAAUGAACAAGGACUGAUUUGGAAAGAAGGUUUGAAUACGAACCUGAACUAGAAGGGGCAAGAGAUU
rnacentral:lncRNA from 1 species